UAAUACACUGUCUAAAAACGUGGCUUUGCCCAGCAGGUUAGUUCAUUUCUUUCUGAUUGGCCCUUGUCCUUCUUAUUCCCGCCUCUGCAGGUAUACUGAGAAUUAUGAUUGGAUGAAGGGGUGGAGUUUAGAGCUGCAGAUCGGUGUGAGAGUUUAGUUAACGAUGUGACUGGGAGGAAUUCAUGGACCAGUUGGGACUUACCUCGGACGGGCUUUGGAGUAUCGUUGCUAUGGCGAUAAAGGAUCGGUUCGGUAGAGGAGGGACUACAGAAAGAUCUACAGCUUCAGAGGAGGGAAUUUGGUGUUCCAGCCGCCUGGGAAGCCGUUCAGCCGACCAGAGUCCGCUCUUCCAGAACCAGAACCCAUGCAGGUGGAUCCUACUGGUCUCUCACUGUCAGAGCGUCAUGGAAGACUUACUCUAGGAUCGUGUCUAUACUGUGGAGCAUCGGGGCAUACCAUCAUCUCAUGCCCCAUUCGCCCACCACCACCACCACACCUGUUUGUCUGGCACAUCCUUCUCUACCUUUUCACACAAAUGGACACUGAGCUGCUCACUAGGGAGGAAUCCCGUCUGAAAGUUACCACUUACUUACUUGUUCCCCUCCCUACAAGCUUGUUUAAAUCCUGUUUGUAUUCAUUGUGCCCUGCUGUUCUCAGUAUUGUAAAUGAUUCCCUGCAUACUGGUGUUGUGCCAGCAGCAUUGACUGGUGACUGGUUUUGUCUGUACGGGUGUUCCUCAGGGUUCCAUCUUAGGCCCCUUACUUUUUAGCAUGUACAUAUUUCCACUUGGAUUGCUUUUAAGAUCACUUGGGCUUAAUUAGCACUUUUAUGCAGACCACACUCAGAUUUAUAUUCACUUUAAGCCUAAUCAAAAUUUAGACCUUUCUUUUUUAACACGCUGUAUUGCUGAGAUAAAAAUGUGGGUGUCUCAAAAUUGUUUGUGCCUCAAUGCUGAUAAGACAGAGCUUGUCUUGCUUAUUGGUCGUCCCUCACCAGCUUCACAAAGCUGGUUCACUGUUUCUAAAUGUAGAUGGCUCUGUUCUGGAAGUACAAACCAAAUGAAAAAAUAAUCUUGGAUUCAAGUUUGUCUUUUGACCCUCACGUUCGGCACAUUGUAAAGAACUCAUUAUUUCAUCUCAGAAAUAUUGCUAGACUUCACCCUAUGUUAUCUCACUCAGUGACUGAAAGGCUUAUUAAGACUUUUGUGUUCUCCCGCUGUGACUAAAUCCACACAUAAUAAACUGCAAUGUGUGCAAAAUUCAGCUGCUAGGAUCCUGACUGGGGUCAGGCAAAAUGAGCACAUUACACCAAUUCUCAAGUCCUUGCUGAUAAAAAUAAAACUAAUAGAAAAUCUAUAAAUUACAUAGAAAUUUCUAUACUUCUGCACAAAUAAAGACGGACUUACUUUAUCUGGCUGUUGCACUUGCUGAUGCAUCGCUGCCGGCUGUGCCGCAUCCACCGCCUGCUUCACCGCAUUGGGAAGUAACUCCUCGAGUGCUCCCCUUACCGUUUCCCGGCAGUUGCAGACGGGUGGAAGCUGCUGCCCAGUUUGGUCGGAGACCACCCUUCUACGCCGAACCGGACUAAUUGGGCGAGGGGAUGUCAUCGUGAACUGUAAGAGAAUGAGUAACACCCACCUAGCGGCUGCUCUAUUUAUAAGCUGACAUUAUAAUUACGCACAAAUCAGAUGUGUGUUAUUGGUCAUUUCCCUCUUCCUCCUGCUCCUCCUACACACUUAUUGGCUAAAAUCUUUGUGACAGAAGAACCGAUCCGAAACACGCCGUAGAAUUCCAGCCUCAGUCCGUCAUUCUGUUCUACACCACAUAAUUAUUAUUAUUAUUAAAUAAUAAUGAAUGAAGACAUGAGACACAGAAGACAUGUUUGUGUUCUGUUUAUUUUAAUAGUUUUAAUAGUUAAAUUGUUCAUUGUUGCACACGGAAAAUCUGCCAACUCAAAAAGGACAAAGAAAUAAUUGACCUUGAAAAAGUCUGAAGCUUAUUUAAAGACUGGAACACAACUGACUGGAACACAUUGUCAUCUGUCCUUUUUGUGUUGGUAAAUCUGACAAACAUGUCUUCUGUGUCUCAUGUCUUCAUUUAUGUCUGUGUUGGUACCUGAAUCUGUAGCUGUUUACUGCUCCACAUAUUCAUAUUUGUAUCUGUAUGUAUAAAGUCUGAUUUAAACCAUG